rnacentral:tRNA from 1 species
UGCCGAGGUGGCUGACGGUCCGUUCGGUCCUGGCUCGGCCGAGCCGAACGAGGAUGGUUCGGCGCCGUCGCCGGCGU